rnacentral:tRNA from 1 species
ACCGAAAUAGCUCAGUUGGGAGAGCGUGGAAAGUCCCUGGUUCGAUCCCGGGUUCCGGAA